GAUGGCGUUCGAUUUUUAUGAGGAGUUGAGUUGUUGCUGGCCUUUUCUACCUUAAUUUGGCAGGAGGGGCAUGUGCACACCUUCUCUUUCAUCCAUCACACCCCCUGUGCACUUGUGAGACAGCAAUAGUUGGUGGAUUUAAUUCCAUCAUCCAUUUGCUGUCUACUUAAUUUACACACACUCUACUUAAUUUAAACUGAAUGUAAUUGAUGUAACGCAUCUAAUACUAAGUUUCAACAACGGAUCUCUUGGCUCUCGCAUCGAUGAAGAACGCAGCGAAAUGCGAUAAGUAAUGUGAAUUGCAGAAUUCAGUGAAUCAUCGAAUCUUUGAACGCACCUUGCGCUCCUUGGUAUUCCUUGGAGCAUGCCUGUUUGAGUAUCAUGAAAUCUUCAAAGUAAACCUUUUGUUAAUUCAAUUGGUCUUUUUUACUUUGGUUUUGGAGGAUCUUAUUGCAGCUUCACACCUGCUCCUCUUUGUGCAUUAGCUGGAUCUCAGUGUUAUGCUUGGUUCCACUCGGCGUGAUAAGUUAUCUAUCGCUGAGGACACCCGUAAAAAAGGUGGCCAAGGUAAAUGCAGAUGAACCGCUUCUAAUAGUCCAUUGACUUGGACAAUAUUCUAUUUUAUGAUCUGAUCUCAAAUCAGGUAGGACUACCCGCUGAACUUAAGCAUAUCAAUAAGCGGAGGAAGUUUUAUUGGGGAUUUUUUACCAAAGUGGAGAGGAGGGGCUGGUGGCCUCUUCUCCUUAGUCGGGGGAGGCGCUGUCCUCUUUCUCUUUCAACUCAGCGCCCUGUGCCCUUGUGACACACAUAGUGGUGGAUUAACUUCCUCCCCUUGGUGACAUGAAGUUACCACUCUACUACUUAACUGAAUGUAUUGAGUACCCGGAUAUGAGCUUAAAAGAACCUGGGCUGCUCCAUAAAGAGCUCCAAUGUGAAUAUGGGAUGGAAAUCCUGAACCAGCUUCAUGCCUGGCCCUGAAUUCUUGGAACAGCGGUGAGAUACUGAAUCCCCAGGAACCUGGUAGACUUAU
rnacentral:rRNA from 1 species